AACGAACGCUGGCGGCAUGCCUAACACAUGCGAGUCGAACGAGAUCCUUCGGGGUCUAGUGGCGCACGGGUGCGUAACGCGUGGGAAUCUGCCCUUAGGUUCGGAAUAACAGUUAGAAAUGACUGCUAAUACCGGAUGAUGACGUUAAGUCCAAAGAUUUAUCGCCUGAGGAUGAGCCCGCGUAGGAUUAGCUAGUUGGUGUGGUAAAGGCGCACCAAGGCGACGAUCCUUAGCUGGUCUGAGAGGAUGAUCAGCCACACUGGGACUGAGACACGGCCCAGACUCCUACGGGAGGCAGCAGUGGGGAAUAUUGGACAAUGGGCGCAAGCCUGAUCCAGCAAUGCCGCGUGAGUGAUGAAGGCCUUAGGGUUGUAAAGCUCUUUUACCCGAGAUGAUAAUGACAGUAUCGGGAGAAUAAGCCCCGGCUAACUCCGUG
rnacentral:rRNA from 1 species